rnacentral:rRNA from 1 species
GACAGAGGGUGCUAGCGUUGUUCGGAAUUACUGGGCGUAAAGGGCUCGUAGGCGGUCCGCUAAGUUCGGCGUGAAAUCCCCUGGCUCAACUGGGGAACUGCGCUGGAUACUGGUGGACUUGAGUACCGGAGAGGAGAGUGGAAUUCCUGGUGUAGCGGUGAAAUGCGUAGAUAUCAGGAGGAACACCGGUGGCGAAGGCGGCGCUCUGGACGGAUACUGACGCUGAGGCGCGAAAGCGUGGGGAUCAAACAGG